UACGUAGGGUGCGAGCGUUGCCCGGAUUUAUUGGGCGUAAAGGGCGCGUAGGCGGUGCGGUAAGUCACCUGUGAAAUCUCCUGGCUCAACUGGGAGCUUGCAGGCGAAACUGCCGUGCUGGAGUGUGGGAGAGGUGCGUGGAAUUCCUGGUGUGGCGGUGAAAUGCGUAGAUAUCAGGAGGAACACCUGUGGCGAAAGCGGCGCACUGGACCACAACUGACGCUGAGGCGCGAAAGCUAGGGGAGCAAACAGG
rnacentral:rRNA from 1 species